GAUGAACGCUGGCGGCGUGCCUAAUACAUGCCAGUCGAGCGAACGGACGAGAAGCUUGCUUCUCUGAUGUUAGCGGCGGACGGGUGAGUAACACGUGGAUAACCUACCUAUAAGACUGGGAUAACUUCGGGAAACCGGAGCUAAUACCGGAUAAUAUUUUGAACCGCAUGGUUCAAAAGUGAAAGACGGUCUUGCUGUCACUUAUAGAUGGAUCCGCGCUGCAUUAGCUAGUUGGUAAGGUAACGGCUUACCAAGGCAACGAUGCAUAGCCGACCUGAGAGGGUGAUCGGCCACACUGGAACUGAGACACGGUCCAGACUCCUACGGGAGGCAGCAGUAGGGAAUCUUCCGCAAUGGGCGAAAGCCUGACGGAGCAACGCCGCGUGAGUGAUGAAGGUCUUCGGAUCGUAAAACUCCGUUAUUAGGGAAGAACAUAUGUGUAAGUAACUGUGCACAUCUUGACGGUACCUAAUCAGAAAGCCACGGCUAACUACGUG
rnacentral:rRNA from 1 species